rnacentral:tRNA from 3 species
GCCGAAGUGGUGAAAUUGGUAGACACGCUAUCUUGAGGGGGUAGUGGCGUAAGCCGUGCCGGUUCAAGUCCGGCCUUCGGCACCA